rnacentral:lncRNA from 1 species
GCUGGACUUCAUGUCUGAUGAUUUAUAUGUAUUUUCUGUAGGUCUCCCAUCAACCCUGCUGAAAAACAUUUUGACAAUUUAUACAUUAAAAACAUUGCAAUUCAAGAACAUUAACAUUCUAAUAUUACAAAGCCAAUGAACAGAACUGCCAGAAUUUGAUCUAAAGACUGCCCACACCCAAAACCCAGUUGCUUUCCAUAAUGUGCUGUCAGCUUAUACCCAUCCUCAUGUUUGAAGUGAUCAUCCUGGUAUGGUCUGUUUUUUGUUUGAACUCUUGUAGAAGAUCAACUCAGGCAAGGCGUGGUAGCUCACACCUGUAAUCACAACAUUUUAGAAGGCCGAGGCAGGAGGAUUGCUUGAGCUCAAGAGUUUGAGACCAGCCUGGGCAACAUAGCAAGACCUCAUCUCUACUAAAAAUCAAAAAAAUUAGCCAGGCAUGGUAGUGCAUGCCUGUAGUCCCAGCUACUCGGGAGGCUGAGGUGGGAGAAUCAAUGACCUAAGCCCAGGAGGACGAGGCUGCAGUGAGCCAUGAUUGUGCCACUGCACUCCAGGCUGGAUGACAGAGCAAGACCCUAUCUCAAAAAACAGAACAAAAAAAAAGAGGCGUAGUGGCUCAUGCCUGUAAUCCCAGCACUUUGGGAGGCUGAGGCGGGCAGAUCAUAAGGUCAAGAGAUCGAGACCAUCCUGGCCAACAUGGUGAAACCUCAUCUCUUCUAAAAUUACAAAAAUUAGCUGGGCGUGGUGGCGCAUGCCUGUAGUCCCAGCUACUCAGGAGGCUGAGGCAGGAGAAUGGCUUGAACCCGGGAGGUGGAGGUUGCAGUGAGCCGAGAUUGCACUACUGCAAUCAGCCUGGGUGACAGAGUGAGACUCUGUGUCAGAAAAAAAAAAAAAAAGAAAAAGAAAAGAUAGAUCAUCUCUCUCUUCCCGGUGCUGCUGAAGGGUAAGAUGUAAACCUAGAGUGCUCAAGAAUGUAAAUGUAGAGAGCCAGCACAGGAGCCAGAGACAGAGCGGAAGCCCAGGGAAGGCUGUUCACACCCGGUCCCGCUGCCCUGGAAGCUAGCGUCUGCUCCUUUCAGUCAUGUGCACUACAAAUAUCCCUUCGUUUUUCCUUUGGCACAGGCAAAUGUGGGUUUCCUGUCUUUUGCAUUCCCUAAUAAUACACUGCCCUACUUAUUUCAAACUGUAUGGUUAGGCAGGGUGCUGUGGCUCACACCUGCAAUCCUAGCACUUUGGGAGGCUGAGGCAGGAGGAUCACUUGAGCCCAGGAGUUUGACAGCAGCCUGGGCAACACAGUGAGACCAUGUCUCUAAAAGUAAAAAAAUUAAAAACAAAUAAAACUAUAGUUCAACAUUGCUGGUAGGACUGUAAAAUGGUAUAGCUGCUCUGGAAGAGUUUGGCAGAAGCGAAAGCUUCUGUUCACAUAAAAUCCUGUAAAUGGGUGAUCAUGGCAGCAUUAUUCACAAUAGCCAAAAAGUAGAAACAAUCUAAAUGUUUAUCAGCUGAUGAAUGGACAAACAAAAUAC